GUGCCCUUUUAAGGUUGACCCAGUGCUUUAAAAGGCUAACACAGAAGGGUAAAGUAAGUCUCCAUAAAACCCAGAGAAGAGACUGGAAAUCUCCCCUUUGGAUCCUGUCUGGAGUCACAGCU
ensembl:snoRNA SNORA26 small nucleolar RNA, H/ACA box 26